rnacentral:misc_RNA from 1 species
CAGGAGAAAUCAGCCUCGGAGUC